ensembl:lncRNA
AUGGCUGGAAACCUGCUGUUGGUCGUCGUCAUGUAUUCCUUUUCUGAGAUGAAAGCACAAGUUCUUCUUCCACCUAAACUGACGGUGAAUCCAUCGGUGAUCACAGACACAGACUCAGUCACAUUGGACUGUCAGCCUCCACCAUCUGUUUCUGUGUCUCAGUGUUAUUUCAGCACUGUAAGAGUAAGACCGGCCAUAAGCUUCUCUUGUCUGCAGACACUGACAGGAACUGAACUGCUCAAGAUGUCAAAUCAAAGUUCACCUGCUGAGGUUGAAGUGAAAUGCUCUUACCUUAAGGUGUCUCAAUCUCCUGAGAGUGAAACAACGUCCAUCACCAUCCGAACAUCUCUUCCACCUAAACUGACAGUGAAUCCACCAGUGAUCAACGAGAGAGACUCAGUCACAUUGAACUGUCAGACUCCACCAUCCUUUUCUGUGACUCAGUGUCAUUUCUACAUUUCAAGUGGAGGAACUGUCAGAGACUCCUCUUGUCUGCAGACACUGACAGGAACUGAACUGCUGAAGACGUCACCUCAGAGUUCACCUUCUGAGGUUGAAGUGAUGUGUUUUUAUACGGUAAAGCUUGGAGAAAAAGAUUCUCCAUCUCCAUACAGUGGCACUUCCCGCAUUACCAUACACGGUGAGUGAAUGCUUUUUUGAUUUGGUAUCAUAACAAGAAAAGGGGAGAAGUGAAUUUGUCUUUAGGGCUUAUAAACCAAAACAAGGAGAGAAAGACUAAUUUAAGAACUUCUGUUCUCAUAAAAUGCCGCCUGCUUUUUUAAUGUUAAUUGUAUUUUGAGCAACGAUAGAUUUAAU